rnacentral:rRNA from 1 species
CCUACGGGUGGCUGCAGUGGGGAAUAUUGCGCAAUGGGCGAAAGCCUGACGCAGCCACGCCGCGUGAGUGAUGAAGGCCUUCGGGUUGUAAAGCUCUGUCGGGAGGGAAGAAGGCGUAAGCCUGACGGUACCUCGCAAGAAAGCACCGGCUAACUCUGUGCCAGCAGCCGCGGUAAUACAGAGGGUGCAAGCGUUGCUCGGAUUUACUGGGCGUAAAGCGUACGCAGACGGCCACGCAGGUCGGGUGUGAAAGCCCAGGGCUCAACCCUGGAACAGCAUUCGAAACCAUGUGGCUUGAGGAUGGGAGAGGAGAGCGGAAUUCCCGGUGUAGAGGUGAAAUUCGUAGAUAUCGGGAGGAACACCAGUGGCGAAAGCGGCUCUCUGGCCCAUUUCUGACGUUCAGGUACGAAAGCGUGGGGAGCAAACAGGAUUAGAUACCCCGGUAGUC